AAUAAUUGUUCCAAAUGAGAAUGAAGACAUGUUACAGGGUACGAAACCAAAUUGAAUUGGUUUAGGGUCAGUGAAAGCAGAGAGUUCCUGAGGAUGGAGAAUCAAAGGACGUCAUUUGGCAAAGGAGAAGAGACAGUCCUGAUCUCCCUCCUCUAGACCAGUUUCUAUUUUAUCAUCUCUGAACCCACUCCAUUUCUGCAAUACGCUUUUAGAUAUGGGAUGACCACUACUGCACCUGGAUCCAGCCACCCAACGAACUUCAUGCCUGAAAAUAAAAUCUCUCUCAGCAAGUCCACGGCUGAAACAGCCUGACGUAUUCCAAAUGAGCCGCAGCAAAGGAUCACAAGACAAGAGACACACACACAAAAUAUCAAGAAAGAGCACAAACAAGUGUUGGAAGUGGCUUACUGAAUAAGGAACACAUACCAACACACAACACAGAUUUCUCUCAGAUGGGAGGGUCCUUCUGACUUCAUCACAUGCUACUUAUUUGUAUCUUUAG